CCUUCGAUAGCUCAGUUGGUAGAGCGGUGGACUGUAGAAUCGAAAACAGUAUUAGCAUUAAAUAAUAAGUUAUCCAUAGGUCGCUGGUUCAAAUCCGGCUCGAAGGA
rfam:Daphnia magna strain Xinb3 scaffold02962, whole genome shotgun sequence.